AAAAACUUGAGACGAACCUUUAUUGUGACCCUCAUUUGAUUUUAGUGGAUUCCUCCCUCGGAUUUGCCCCGUGGUUUUCCCUUCACAUUGAAGGGUUUCCUACGUUAAACCUUGUAUUGUGAUUAUGCUUGGUAGAACUUUUCUUUUUGUGAUUUGUGAUUUCUAUUUUCUUGGCACUUAGCAAAUUGUCCUUUUUUUUUGGUAUUUGCACAAACAUACAUCGUGAAUAUGUUUUGAUCUUUGAUUCACACAUAGAAGGAAAAAGCAUUACUUCCCAACAAUUGGUAUCAGAGCAUUUGCACAUCAAGUGUUUGUUUUUAU
rnacentral:lncRNA from 1 species